CAACUUUUGACAAUGGACCUCUUGGUUCUCGCAACGAUGAAGAACGCAGCAAAAUGCGAUAAGUAGUGCGAAUUGCAGAAUACGUGAAUCAUCGAAUCUUCGAACGCAUAUUG
rnacentral:rRNA from 1 species